rnacentral:lncRNA from 1 species
ACCACCACGGGUUGAGAUGAGAGAAAAAAUGGUGGAGUGAUGACAGAGAAAAUGUUGAGAUGAGAGAGAAAAUAUCUGUGAUGACAAAGGGUUUCUGAUUUUUUUUUUCAAUUGGGACAACAGUAAAGAUGGAUGACAGAGAAAAUGUUGGAGGGAGAGAGAUGAAAGAUAAAGGGUUGAGAGGAAUGAGGGAGGUGAGUAAGGGUUUGGGGGUUCUUUUUUUUUAGUUUUGAGAUUGAAAAUUAUUUAAAUAUCCUUGACCUUAAAACUUAGAAUUCAUGAUAAAUGAGGGUAUUUUUGUCUACUAUAAUCCGGUACACAUUGUUAAAACGUACCAACUGAAAAACAGGCGUACGCGUGUUAACAAACCCAUAUAUAUAUAUAUAUAUA